rnacentral:lncRNA from 1 species
CAAUUCUUUCCAAAAUGGUAACAGAGUCAGAGGUCACAAGUUUCCAAACAUGGACUAAUCCUAAACAUUCAAGUGUCAUCCUUUCUAUGAAACAACUUUAUAAAAAUCCAACCUGUUCUGUAAAGUCAUCUGCUUUUGUGCCCCAUUAAAUUCUGGGUAUAACAUAACACUGGGUCUUGUGCGUCCCAGGAAACUUCUGACUGACCCAGGAGAAAACUUUAUCCUGUUUUCUGCCCCUUCCUUGAAGAUCACUCUUAAAAAGAUGUUUUGAAAACACCCAUUUUUGCAAAUACUAUUGAGCUAUUUCGACAGCACUGUAACUUAAGUUGCUAAAGGAAGGCUCCUGUCUGUGUUGUUCACACUGAAUCCCCUGGGCCUAGAACAAUGUCUGGUAUAUAAUAAGCAUUCAGUAAGUAUUUGAAUAAUAAAUAAAUGAGUGCUAUUUUAAAUUCAAAUAUCAGCUUUUCCCCUGCUUUUAAAAGUGUCAUCCAUCACUGGCAUAUGUGGCAAACAUAAUUCACUUCUACCUUAGGGUCUUCAUUUAUUUAUUGGCCACAGUAUGGAGCCUCAACCAACACAGAUAUUCAUCACCAAUACGGUGCUUCUGCUUCUGCUUCUGAGGGGUUAGGAUAGAGCAGGACACAUUUUUCACCCCUGCCACAAAACUACUACACAGUCCUUAAAAAGGGCAAAGUGGUAGACUUGAUACUCUAGUUUGCCUUGGUCCAAAGGAAAGGCAUUCGAAAAUACUGAAC